rnacentral:rRNA from 1 species
GGGCAACGGGAUGCUAUUGCACACAUGUGUUUUUCUUUGAAACAAACUUGCUUUGGCGGUGGGCCCAGCCUGCCGCCAGAGGUCUAAACUUACAACCAAUUUUUUAUCAACUUGUCACACCAGAUUAUUACUUAAUAGUCAAAACUUUCAACAACGGAUCUCUUGGUUCUCGCAUCGAUGAAGAACGCAGCGAAAUGCGAUACGUAAUAUGAAUUGCAGAUAUUCGUGAAUCAUCGAAUCUUUGAACGCACAUUGCGCCCUCUGGUAUUCCGGAGGGCAUGCCUGUUUGAGCGUCGUUUCUCCCUCAAACCGCUGGGUUUGGUGUUGAGCAAUACGACUUGGGUUUGCUUGAAAGACGGUAGUGGUAAGGCGGGAUCGCUUUGACAAUGGCUUAGGUCUAACCAAAAACAUUGCUUGCGGCGGUAACGUCCACCACGUAUAUCUUCAAACUUUGACCUCAAAUCAGGUAGGACUACCCGCUGAACUUAAGCAUAUCAAAGGUGGGAAGGAAA